UACAGGGGGGGCAAGCGUUGUUCGGAAUUACUGGGCGUAAAGGGUCAGUAGGCGGCCAACUAAGUCCGACGUGAAAUCCCAAAGCUUAACUUUGGAACUGCGUCGGAUACUGGAUGGCUUGAAUUCGGGAGAGGGAUGCAGAAUUCCAGGUGUAGCGGUGAAAUGCGUAGAUAUCUGGAGGAACACCGGUGGCGAAGGCGGCGUUCUGGACUGCAACUGACACUGAGAGACGAAAGCCAGGGGAGCAAACGGG
rnacentral:rRNA from 1 species